CCUACGGGAGGCAGCAGUCGGGAAUAUUGCGCAAUGGAGGAAACCCUGACGCAGUGACGCCGCGUGCAGGAAGAAGGUUUUCGGAUUGUAAACUUCUUUAGACGGGGAAGAAAAGAGACAGGAACUGUAGAAUAAACUCCGGCUAACCACGUGCCAGCAGCCCCGGUUAUACGUAGGGGGGAAGCGUUAUCCGGAUUUUUUGGGUGUAAAGGGUGCGUAGACGGGGAAGCAAGUUAGAUGUGAAAUCCCUAGGCUUAACUUAGGAACUGCAACUAAAACUACUUGACUUGAGUACUGGAGAGGAAAGUGGAAUUCCUAGUGUAGCGGUGAAAUGCGUAGAUAUUAGGAGGAACACCAGUGGCGAAGGCGGCUUUCUGGACAGUAACUGACGUUGAGGCACGAAAGUGUGGGGAGCAAACAGGAUUAGAUACCCUGGUAGUC
rnacentral:rRNA from 1 species